rnacentral:lncRNA from 1 species
UGAAAAGCUGAUUGCUGUUGAAGUCAGUGUUUUGUUCUGAGAAACAUGAAACACUGGGAGCAGCUGAUCUGCUAGAGAGGGCAAUCUCUUGCACUAUAUUCUCCUGAGAUGAACCUAAGACUGGAGAAAGAGAUUAAAUAGCCCACAAGUCACCUUAGCCUGACCUUAGCCACUUGCUACAAUAAUGUGAACUGCUUUUGGAUUUUGCUGCCUGUUUUGAUAUCAAUCCUCCUUUGUGUUUUGACAGAUACUAUUGAAAAAGAGAACUACUUCUUGGCCAAAUACACAUUCAGCAAAGGAAGCCUGAAGACAGAAAUAGUUAAAAAUGGCUACCGUGGAGCUGACACUCUGAAGUACAACAAAAUUACCAUUCUUGGCCUGAAGCUGAGACCUCAAGCUGUGUCUCUGAAUGGAAGAUCCAUCCGUGGAGAUGCUGUGUCUUAUGAGAUGAGUGGGGUAAGACUUGAAUUGCGACUAAGAACAAACGUAGGGAAAGGAGGGUGAAGAGCAGUGAGGAGAGAUGAAGUCACUGAAGGAUCAGAACUGUUUCUCAUCCACACCCCUCUACAUUUUCAAGUAUAACCAGACACCAAUUCUUAAUACAACAGUUUGAAAUUUAGGAAAGGAAAAAAAAAAAAGCCAAAGCAAGUGCUCUUUUAGGAAACCUUAAAUCUUGCUAUUGCAUAUGCACUCUCUUUUACUUAAUGUCUGCCACUUACACAAAUUUUUAAGCUACUGAAAUAGUGGAAAGAAGAUACAGGUCCCUGAGCUGAGAGUGCAGUUAGCAGUUUUAUGGGCAUUCUUAUCAUUCUGAUAAAAUGACAAAACUUGUCCAAGCUUUUAAUCUGCUGCUGAAGUUUUGUGGAUUUUUUCUCACAAUUACUUGGUGUCCAAAAAUUAUUCCAGUGUAAUUGGCUCUAAGAAGCAUCUCCCUAUCAUCCAAAGAGGUAUAAUUUCAUUAUCUUAAAGUGCCAAGCCUC